rnacentral:rRNA from 1 species
CCUACGGGGGACAGCAGUCGAGAAUCAUUCACAAUGGGGGAAACCCUGAUGGGGCGACGCCGCGUGGGGGAAUGAAGGUCUUCGGAUUGUAAACCCCUGUCAUGUGGGAGCAAAUUAAAAAGAUAGUACCACAAGAGGAAGAGACGGCUAACUCUGUGCCAGCAGCCGCGGUAAGACAGAGGUCUCAAGCGUUGUUCGGAAUCCCUGGGCGUAAAGCGUGCGUAGGCUGUUUCGUAAGUCGUGAGUGAAAGGCGCGGGCUCCACCCGCGGACGGCACAUGAUACUGCGAGACUAGAGUAAUGGAGUGGGAACCGGAAUUCUCGGUGUAGCCGUGACAUGCGUAGAUUUCGAGAGGAACCCUCGUGGCGAAGGCGGGUUCCUGGACAUUAACUGACGCUGCGGCACGAAGGCCCGGGGAGCG